rnacentral:rRNA from 1 species
CCGAAAGGCGACCGACCCUUCGGGGAGCGUUGCACAGGUGCUGCAUGGCUGUCGUCAGCUCGUGUCGUGAGAUGUUCGGUUAAGUCCGCUAACGAGCGCAACCCUCGCUGUGUGUUACAAGUGUCACACGGUACUGCCGGUCUUAAGCCGGAGGAAGGUGGGAUGACGUCAAGUCAGCAUGGCCUUUAUGUCCUGGGCUACACACACGCUACAAUGGCCAACACAAUAGGUUGCUAAGCCGCGAGGUGGAGCCAAUCCUCAAAGUUGGUCUCAGUUCAGAUUGCAGGCUGCAACCCGCCUGCAUGAAGAUGGAGUUGCUAGUAGCCGCAGGUCAGCUAUACUGCGGUGAAUACGUUCCCGGGGCUU